AUCAAGCAGAAAAAGUGGUGGCAGUGGGCCCAUGGUUGCUUUCAAAGAUCAUGCCUUCUAAAAAUGAUGAUGAUGAUGAUCUGCUAAUUUCAUCUUCUGGCAUGUCAAUAUGGAAAAAAUGGGUUCCCAGCCUAUCUGUUAGUGACCUGACCUGUUGCUUAUCAGUUGUUAGGGAUGCUAAAUUUGGUAAUUUGAAUGAGACAAUAGAUGGUGCAAGUGCGAUUUUGUACGUUGUAUCUGAGAGCAUCCCAUGGAACGUACAGAAAGCCCAGUUUCAGAACCUGCUCAUGUCAAUACCUUCUGAUUCCGGCUUGCCCCUCCUGGUCUUAUGUGGCUCUUAUAAUAAAGAGGUUCAAGAUCCUUCCUCCACUAUAGUCAGUGAAUUAGGUCUCCAUGACAUUGAAAAAUCACGGAUAAGUAGCUUUCUGGUUGUUUUUCUUGCUGGAGAUAAAGAGACAGAAUACUCCGAUGCUUUUUUCAGUGAUGAAAAAUUAAGGGAAGGACUACAGUGGCUGGCUAGUGAAUCACCCAUACAACCUGAUAUUCACUGCAUAAGGACUCGUGAACUGAUUCUAACCCGCUU
rnacentral:misc_RNA from 1 species